UACAGAGGUCUCAAGCGUUGUUCGGAUUCAUUGGGCGUAAAGGGGGCGUAGGCGGCGCGGUAAGUCGGGUGUGAAAUCUUGGAGCUUAACUCCGAAACUGCAUUCGAUACUGCCGUGCUUGAGGACUGGAGAGGAGACUGGAAUUUACGGUGUAGCGGUGAAAUGCGUAGAUAUCGUAAGGAAGACCAGUGGCGAAGGCGGGUCUCUGGACAGUUCCUGACGCUGAGGCACGAAGGCCAGGGGAGCAAACGGG
rnacentral:rRNA from 1 species